UACAGAGGGGGGCAAGCGUUGUCCGGAUUUACUGGGCGUACAGCGCGCGCAGGCGGAACUGGACGUGCCGUGUGACAAGCCACCGCUCACCGGUGGAGGGCCACGGUACACGACAGUUCUGGAGGCAGGGAGAGGGAUGUGGAAUGCCCGGUGGAGCGGUGAAAUGCGUAGAUAUCAGGAGGAACACCGGUGGUGUAGACGGCUUUCUGGACCGUAACUGACGCUGAGACACGAAAGCGUGGGUAGCAAACAGG
rnacentral:rRNA from 1 species